CCGGGGCGGGCGGGCGGCCGGGAAGCUAGAGCCCGUUCGGGGAGGUGCUGCAGGCGCCGAACCCCGAGGUUUCUCCUGUUUCUGUUGUUCACGCUGGCUCUCUCGCUUCUUAGGACGAACCGACACCGCCCUGCCACACCCGAACCAGACCGGCUUGUCUGGUGGGAUGUCGCCCCACACUGGCCUCCAUCCCAGGCUUCCCCAAACUAAUGGGAGGACGUGAGCCCUUCUGGCCAAGCAGGUGCGAGGAGAGACGUAACUUCUGUGAAAACCCUUCGUGAACAGUGCAGCGGCUUCCACAUCCAAGUUCCCGUCCUUGAAAUGGAGCCAGCAGAGCCAGCCCUACCUAAUCUUUGGGGCUGUCCUGAGCUGAGAAAGUAAUACAUUGUGUACGAAAAACUGCUUUGACGGGGGACAAAAAGUUCUGUGUUCUUGUAAGAUGUCAAUGACUUGAGAGCCGAAUUAAAUGCUUUGCAGUAAA